AUAAAUACAACCAGCAUAGAAAGACCCAAAACUAUACAGAAACCAAAACCAGAAUGCCAUGUGGUGGAGGCAAAGGGCAGAAUUUCUGACCCCUUUGGCUCAGCUGCCCUUCCCCACAAAUAAAAACCAACAAAGAGGACAAAUCAGGACAAUAAAGAAGAUUCAUGCUAAGCUGUGGCAGAGGGGGGAAGGUAUGAUCGGG
rnacentral:lncRNA from 1 species